ensembl:lncRNA
GUAAGUUAAAUUGUUUCCAAGGAGUUUGUUGUGCAUAACUACUUACCAUUUCUUCUAUAUGAAGUUUUUUAUACUAUAAAGCUACAAUCUUUCAUUGUUUGACCCUGAGGAUAUUUUUAGAUGCAGCAAGAGAAGUAGCACUGUCAAUGUACAUAAUCUCUUCAGUGAAUGUACCCAUGCUGUAGAUGUACUACAUAUUGAAAAAAAUGACUUGUAUUGCCCGGUCCAUAUUGCUGGGUCCACACACUGUUCACAGCAGAGAACUCCCUUUUUCCUUCUGUAUUCCUGGAAAGUGCCAAGCACUGGAGUGGGUGCUCUAAAAUGUUUUGUUUUACUGUUACUGGAAAUAGUGCCAUUUCAUGUACCCAAGAGAGACACCGAGAAAGGCUAUACAUGAGAAUACCUUGUCACUGCUCACAGGAUAAGCCUAAAACCAGCACUCGAAGCAGAGCUGAAAU